rnacentral:rRNA from 1 species
AAUAUUGCACAAUGGAGGAAACUCUGAUGCAGCGACGUCGCGUGAGUGAUGAAGGNUUNNGAGUCNUNAAGCUCUGUCCUUGGNNNNNAUAAUGACGGUCCCCAAGGAGGAAGCCCCGGCUAACUACGUGCCAGCAGCCGCGGUAAUACGUAGGGGGCGAGCGUUGUCCGGAAUUAUUGGGCGUAAAGGGUUCGCAGGCGGCCAGAUAAGUCAGAUGUGAAAUCUCACGGCUUAACCGUGAUAAGCAUUUGAAACUGUAUGGCUUGAGUUAAGGAGAGGAAAGUGGAAUUCCUAGUGUAGCGGUGAAAUGCGUAGAUAUUAGGAGGAAUACCAGUGGCGAAGGCGACUUUCUGGACUUAUACUGACGCUGAGGAACGAAAGCGUGGGGAGCAAACA